AAUCGCAUCCUGUCUCCCUCUCUCUUUUCUCUUGCCCUGCCCCCAUCCCCGAUCCCCUCUCCAGGUGAGACCCAUGGAUUGGUCUGCAGGCCGGAUCACCAAUCCCAUCUAAAUUGCAAAGGAUAGGAUGAUGCUGGCUACCACUUGGGCUGUACAGGAGAACCUGCUCUCUGGGCUGGGCUAUGGUUUGGGUCUGGAUGCACCGCAAAGCCCAGCCUGUUCGAAGUUGGACUUUUGGACGAUGAUUGGAUCAAAGAGCUGCUAUGCUGGUUAGAUCGGAAUGCACUGUUUGGAAGCCGGGUCUGGUCCAGGGACCCGACCUAAAAGGGUGUCUCUGACUCCUCUUUCUGCUUCUUCCUGCCCACCAUGAGGCGAGCAGUGCCUUUCCUGCGUAGGCCACUUCCACCAGGCCAGUUCUGGUGAGAGCCAGCAAACUGUAGAAUAAAACCAUCAGCCAAAAUAAAUCUCUCUGCUUUUCA